rnacentral:rRNA from 1 species
AUCUGCCUUUGAGCGGGGGACAACAUUUGGAAACGAAUGCUAAUACCGCAUAACAACUUUAAACACAAGUUUUAAGUUUGAAAGAUGCAAUUGCAUCACUCAAAGAUGAUCCCGCGUUGUAUUAGCUAGUUGGUGAGGUAAAGGCUCACCAAGGCGAUGAUACAUAGCCGACCUGAGAGGGUGAUCGGCCACAUUGGGACUGAGACACGGCCCAAACUCCUACGGGAGGCAGCAGUAGGGAAUCUUCGGCAAUGGACGAAAGUCUGACCGAGCAACGCCGCGUGAGUGAAGAAGGUUUUCGGAUCGUAAAACUCUGUUGGUAGAGAAGAACGUUGGUGAGAGUGGAAAGCUCAUCAAGUGACGGUAACUACCCAGAAAGGGACGGCUAACUACGUGCCAGCAGCCGCGGUAAUACGUAGGUCCCGAGCGUUGUCCGGAUUUAUUGGGCGUAAAGCGAGCGCAGGUGGUUUAUUAAGUCUGGUGUAAAAGGCAGUGGCUCAACCAUUGUAUGCAUUGGAAACUGGUAGACUUGAGUGCAGGAGAGGAGAGUGGAAUUCCAUGUGUAGCGGUGAAAUGCGUAGAUAUAUGGAGGAACACCGGUGGCGAAAGCGGCUCUCUGGCCUGUAACUGACACUGAGGCUCGAAAGCGUGGGGAGCAAACAGGAUUAGAUACCCUGGUAGUCCACGCCGUAAACGAUGAGUGCUAGAUGUAGGGAGCUAUAAGUUCUCUGUAUC